rnacentral:rRNA from 1 species
UACGGAGGAUCCAAGCGUUAUCCGGAUUUAUUGGGUUUAAAGGGUGCGUAGGCGGCCUGUUAAGUCAGGGGUGAAAGACGGUAGCUCAACUAUCGCAGUGCCCUUGAUACUGAUGGGCUUGAAUGGACUAGAGGUAGGCGGAAUGUGACAAGUAGCGGUGAAAUGCAUAGAUAUGUCACAGAACACCGAUUGCGAAGGCAGCUUACUAUGGUGCUAUUGACGCUGAGGCACGAAAGCGUGGGGAGCAAACAGG